CCUACGGGAGGCAGCAGUGAGGAAUAUUGGUCAAUGGACGCAAGUCUGAACCAGCCAUGCCGCGUGCAGGAAGACGGCUCUAUGAGUUGUAAACUGCUUUUGUACGAGGGUAAACGCAGAUACGCGUAUCUGUCUGAAAGUAUCGUACGAAUAAGGAUCGGCUAACUCCGUGCCAGCAGCCGCGGUAAUACGGAGGAUUCAAGCGUUAUCCGGAUUUAUUGGGUUUAAAGGGUGCGUAGGCGGUCGGAUAAGUUAGCGGUGAAAUCCCGAGGCUCAACUUCGGAAUUGCCUCUGAUACUGUUCGGCUAGAGAGUAGUAGAGGUAGGCGGAAUGUAUGGUGUAGCGGUGAAAUGCUUAGAGAUCAUACAGAACACCGAUUGCGAAGGCAGCUUACCGGGCUACUUCUGACGUUGAGGCACGAAAGCGUGGGGAGCGAACAGGAUUAGAUACCCGGGUAGUC
rnacentral:rRNA from 1 species